UACUGUGAUUAACAAAACAGAUAUUUAUAUGGCAAAACGUUUCCCUUUCCACCUUCGUCAGCUGCUCUGAUUAAAAAAGAAACACACACACUGAUGAAGGCGGAAAUGUUUUGCCACAAAAAUAAAAUCUCUGUUUUGUUAAUCACAGAAA